rnacentral:rRNA from 1 species
GACGAACGCUGGCGGCGUGCUUAACACAUGCAAGUCGAACGGUAAGGCCCUUCGGGGUACACGAGUGGCGAACGGGUGAGUAACACGUGGGUGAUCUGCCCUGCACUUCGGGAUAAGCCUGGGAAACUGGGUCUAAUACCGGAUAGGACUCCUGGCUUCAUGGUUGGGGGUGGAAAGCUUCUGCGGUGUGGGAUGGGCCCGCGGCCUAUCAGCUUGUUGGUGGGGUAAUGGCCUACCAAGGCGACGACGGGUAGCCGGCCUGAGAGGGUGACCGGUCUCACUGGGACUGAGAUACUGCCCAGACUCCUACGGGAGGAAGCAGUGGGGAAUAUUGCACAAUGGGCGCAAGCCUGAUGCAGCGACGCCGCGUGAGGGAUGACGGCCUUCGGGUUGUAAACCUCUUUCAGCUAUGACGAAGCGCAAGUGACGGUAGUAGCAGAAGAAGGACCGGCCAACUACGUGCCAGCCGCCGCAGUAA